GUGGGGAAUAUUGGACAAUGGGCGCAAGCCUGAUCCAGCCAUGCCGCGUGAGUGAUGACGGCCCUAGGGUUGUAAAGCUCUUUCGGCGGGGACGAUAAUGACGGUACCCGCAGAAGAAGCCCCGGCUAACUUCGUGCCAGCAGCCGCGGUAAUACGAAGGGGGCUAGCGUUGUUCGGAAUUACUGGGCGUAAAGCGCACGUAGGCGGAUCGUUUAGUCGGGGGUGAAAUCCCGAGGCUCAACCUCGGAACUGCCUUCGAUACUGGCGAUCUUGAGACCGAGAGAGGUGAGUGGAACUCCGAGUGUAGAGGUGAAAUUCGUAGAUAUUCGGAAGAACACCAGUGGCGAAGGCGGCUCACUGGCUCGGUACUGACGCUGAGGUGCGAAAGCGUGGGGAGCAAACAGG
rnacentral:rRNA from 1 species